rnacentral:rRNA from 1 species
AUAAACGUUGGUAGCAUGCCUAACACAUGCAAGUCGAGCGGAGAGUAGCAAUACUUUUAGCGGCGAACGGGUGAGUAAUACUUAUUCUACCUACCGGUUAGUGGGGGAUAACCAUGGGAAACCAUGGCUAAUACCGCAUAUUAUGAGCAAUCAUGAAAGUUCCUUCGGGUUCGCUAAUUGAUGGGGAUAAGUCGUAUUAGCUUGUUGGUAAGGUAAUGGCUUACCAAGGCGAUGAUGCGUAGCCAGUCUGAGAGGAUGAAUGGCCACAAGGGAACUGAGACACGGUCCCUACUCCUACGGGAGGCAGCAGUGAGGAAUUUUCCACAAUGGACGCAAGUCUGAUGGAGCAAUGCUACGUGAAGGAAGAAGGUCCUUUGGAUUGUAAACUUCUGUUCAUCAGGAAGAAAAAAAUGACGGUACUGAUGUAGAAAGCCACGACUAACUAUGUGCCAGCAGUCGCGGUAAGACAUAGGUGGCGAACGUUAUCCGGAUUUAUUGGGCGUAAAGGAUGCGUAGAUGUUAUUAUAAGUUAUUAGUAGAAAAUAGAAGCUCAACUUCUGGCAGCUAAUAAUACUAUAAUAAUUGAGGGCAGAGGAGGUUGACGGAAUUCUGUGUGGAGCGGUGAAAUGCUUAGAUAUACAGAGGAACGCCGAAAUAGGCGAAGGCAGUUAACUAUUCUGUUCCUGACAUUGAGGCAUGAAAGCGUGGGGAGCAAAACGGAUUAGAUACCCGUGUAGUCCACGCCCUAAACGAUGAGUAUUAGGCACUGGGCUUUAGCUCAGCGUCACAGCUAACGCGUUAAAUACUCCGCCUGGGUAGUACGAUCGCAAGAUUGAAACUUAAAGGAAUUGACGGGGACCCGCACAAGCGGUGGAGCAUGUGGUUUAAUUCGACGGUACCCGAAGAACCUUACCAAGGCUUUUUCUAGUGCAAAGUUGGGCGAAAUCUCGACUGAGGCUACCAUUAGGGAAACGGUGAUGCAUGGCCGUCGUCAGUUCGUGCCGUGAGGUGUAUGGUUAAGUCCUAUAACGAAUGCAACCCUCGUGUUUAGUUACCAUCAUUAAGUUGGGGACUCUAAACAGACUGCCAGAGUAAUCUGGAGGAAGGAGAGGAUGACGUCUGGUCUUUAUGUCCUUUAUGCCUUGGGCUACACACGUGCUACAAUGAUGAGGACAAAGGGUUGCCAACCCGCGAGGGGGAGCUAAUCUCAAAAAACUCAUCUCAGUUUGGAUUGAAGUCUGCAACUCGACUUCAUGAAACCGGAAUCGCUAGUAAUCGCGGAUCAGCUAUGUCGCGGUGAAUACGUUCUCGGGUCUUGUACACACCGCCCGUCAGGCCAUGAAAGUCAGUAAUACUUGAAAGUAAUUAGUUAACCCGCAAGGGAAGCGGUUACCAAGGGUAGGAUUGAUGAUUGGGGUU